AACGAACGCUGGCGGCAUGCCUAACACAUGCAAGUCGAACGAACCCUUCGGGGUUAGUGGCGCACGGGUGCGUAACGCGUGGGAAUCUGCCCUUUGCUUCGGAAUAACAGUUAGAAAUGACUGCUAAUACCGGAUGAUGUCUUCGGACCAAAGAUUUAUCGGCAAGGGAUGAGCCCGCGUAGGAUUAGGUAGUUGGUGGGGUAAAGGCCUACCAAGCCGACGAUCCUUAGCUGGGCUGAGAGGAUGAUCAGCCACACUGGGACUGAGACACGGCCCAGACUCCUACGGGAGGCAGCAGUGGGGAAUAUUGGACAAUGGGCGCAAGCCUGAUCCAGCAAUGCCGCGUGAGUGAUGAAGGCCUUCGGGUCGUAGAGCUCUUUUACCAGGGAUGAUAAUGACAGUACCUGGAGAAUAAGCUCCGGCUAACUCCGUGCCAGCCGCCGCUGUAAAAC
rnacentral:rRNA from 1 species